GCCAGCGGCCACACCAACCUGCAACUCACAACUGGCAGCCCCACUGGAGCUCAGCAGGUGUGAGCCUGGCCAGUACCUGGAUGGGAGACCUCCUGGGAAAAAGGUUGCUGCUGGAA
rnacentral:rRNA from 1 species